AUUGAACGCUGGCGGCAGGCCUAACACAUGCAAGUCGAGCGCGAAAGUUCUUCGGAAUGAGUAAAGCAGCGGACGGGUGAGUAAUACAUGGGAAUCUGCCUGGUAGUGGGGGACAACGUUUCGAAAGGAACGCUAAUACCGCAUACGCCCUACGGGGGAGAGCUAGGGACCUUCGGGCCUGGCGUUAAUGGAGCGGCCGA
rnacentral:rRNA from 1 species